UACGAAGGACCCGAGCGUUAUCCGGAUUUAUUGGGUUUAAAGGGUGCGUAGGCGGACACGCAAGUCAGUGGUGAAAUCCCCCAGCUUAACUGAGGAACUGCCAUUGAAACUAUGUGUCUUGAGUACAUUUGAGGCGGGCGGAAUGUGUCAUGUAGAGGUGAAAUUCUUAGAUAUGACACAGAACACCAAUUGCGAAGGCAGCUCGCUAAACUGUAACUGACGCUGAGGCACGAAAGCGUGGGGAUCAAACAGG
rnacentral:rRNA from 1 species